rnacentral:rRNA from 1 species
AACGAACGCUGGCGGCAUGCCUAACACAUGCAAGUCGAACGAGACCUUCGGGUCUAGUGGCGCACGGGUGCGUAACGCGUGGGAACCUGCCUUAGGUUCGGAAUAACUCCCCGAAAGGGGUGCUAAUACCGGAUAAUGUCUUCGGACCAAAGAUUUAUCGCCUUUGGAUGAGCCCGCGUUGGAUUAGCUAGUUGGUAGGGUAAAAGCCUACCAAGGCGACGAUCCAUAGCUGGUCUGAGAGGAUGAUCAGCCACACUGGGACUGAGACACGGCCCAGACUCCUACGGGAGGCAGCAGUGGGGAAUAUUGGACAAUGGGCGAAAGCCUGAUCCAGCAAUGCCGCGUGAGUGAUGAAGGCCUUAGGGUUGUAAAGCUCUUUUACCCGGGAUGAUAAUGACAGUACCGGGAGAAUAAGCUCCGGCUAACUCCGUG